rnacentral:lncRNA from 1 species
UACCCUCUCUCCUGCUUGGAGGAAGGGGUACACACUCAUGCUAUAACUACCUGCAUUUAGAUUUUUUUUGAGACAAACUGUCCAAGAUUCAAAAGCACCAUUUCUGGUUGCUACAUUGCAAGAUGUCACCAUUGGAGCAGGCCCUAGUUAGCAAGACUGUACCUUCUUAUCAUGUGCAAUAAGUGACAUUUUGUUGUAUUUGUUACAUAAUUUGCCUGAUGUUUAUUGUGCCCUUUUUUGUUUCUUUUAUGCAUGAAUGUCUUUGAUCUCCAUCUAUAGGUGACACGAGGUCGUUUCGUGCUAAGGUUUGUGUCAACUUGAGAGAUAGGUACCUACUAGGAAAAAAUCAAAUCGAACAAAUACAUUUAUUAAAUAAGUUGGAAGUCUAAAUUUGAAUUCAUAUAUUUAUUAAACAACCUUAUAUAAUCUUUUUAAUGAACUUGUAGGGUCGAGUCGGGUCUGUAAUGACCUAAGCUCGAUCAUCUCGGGUUAACUUUUGUGUCAAGUUAGUGUGUUAGUUCAUGGAUUACUGCUAUAACUUCAAUAAUCUUAACCUUCAUUAGUU